AUCAAUUACAUUUUUAAAUGAAUUCGAUGCAUGCAUAUAUUUUAUUACUUUUGGAAAAUUUUAACUUUCAGGUGUAUACAUUUGGUCAUACAUUCAGGGCAGAAAAUUCUAACACAUCUAGACAUUUAGCUGAAUUCUGGAUGAUUGAACCUGAGCUUGCAUUUGCGGACCUAAAUGAUGACAUGGCAUGUGCCACUGCCUAUCUCCAGUAUGUCGUGAAACAUGUUCUUGAAAAUUGCAAGGAAUAUAUGGAUUUCUUCAAG